rnacentral:lncRNA from 1 species
GAAAUUGUUGGAGUUUCAUGAGAGAUAGAAAAAAAAAAAACUCAACAAGGAAUUUUGGCUCUUUUUUUUUUGUUUGUGUUUUUUAUUUGAUCUUUUUAUUAUUUUUUUCUCAUAUUUAAUCUUUCAAGUUCUAUGAGAAAAAUGGAUCAUAUAUAAUAUGAUGCUGUUUAAUUUUCCAUAAAAUUGAGGUAACUAAAAGAAAGUAUCAAAGAUACUUUAUGGAGGAUUUAGAUGGAGUGAAACUAUGUUACAUCAUUUCAAUGGAAAAAAUAUAUUCAUUUGAAAAAAAAAUCCAUUGGUCAGUAAAAAAAUGGAAUUUAUUGUAAAAAAGAAUUGGAAUUUAUUCUAUUAAAAAAAUGAAUUUAUUUGCAGCAUCAAAAUUUAAAUUUUAGGACUUCCAUAAUCACCGUCCUGCUAUUCAUGAUACAUAGACGGAGGGAAGGGGAGAUAUUGAAAAGAUAAAAGAAUUUCUUUUUUGACACAAAGAUAAAAGAAAAUUUUAAAAGUGAGUUAAUUAACCAUUAAAUUAUUUGACAAAUUUUUUUAUUGAUAACUAGAAAAUUCUCGGAUUUAUCUAUUCAUUGGUAGAAUCUAGAAUCGAUAUUAUCAUAAAAAAAAAAAUUUCUAGAAUCGAUACAUGGAAUUAUGACAUGGUAACAAAUUAAAAUUGG